GCUCCCUCGCUCCCAAUUUAGUCCCCGUCGCUCCCAGGGACUGGAGCACAGUUGGAUCAUGCUCAGGAGGUGACACGAGCAGCUCCAGUAAAAAAAACGUCUCUCUCUCAGCCUGCUCCGUCCACUCCUCUCCCUCUAUCCAGCCCAGCCUCUCCUCUCUUCAGCCUCAGAGCCAUGGAGUCUUCCCAUGAGGUCCCCUUCAUGGAUGGUCUCACUAUGAAGGAGAUAGCCCCAGCCUCGGCCCCGGAUGCCAACGUCUACACCAAGUUCAUGAGGAACCACUGCUGCUACGACGCCAUUCCAACCAGCUCCAAACUGGUCAUCUUCGACACCACCUUGCAGGUAAAAAAAGCUUUCUUUGCUCUGGUGGCGAACGGUGUUCGGGCGGCGCCGCUGUGGGAUAACAAGCUGCAGUGUUUUGUAGGUAUGCUGACCAUCACAGACUUUAUCAACAUUCUCCACCGGUAUUGGCAGUCUCCUCUGGUAGAGAUCUACGAACUGGAGGAGCACAAGAUAGAAGACUGUAGAGAGGAAUUGCUGAAGUACUCCAACCAUACUCUGAUCAGUAUCACACCUGACUCCAGCCUUUUUGAUGCCAUCUAUUCUCUGCUGAAGUAUAAGAUCCAUCGGCUGCCUGUGAUCGACCCAGAGUCUGGCAACGUCCUGCACAUCCUCACCCACAAACGCAUCCUCAAGUUCCUGCAUAUCUUUGGCACCAUGAUCCCAAAGCCUCGGUACCUCCAGAAGAGAAUUGAGGAGGUGGACAUCGGAACAUUUAAACAGAUCGCUACUGUCCGGGAGACAGACACGGUGUACGACGCCCUGGCCAUCUUCGUACAGCGGAGGGUUUCCGCUCUGCCAGUGGUCAAUGAGGAGGGGAAAAUCAAGGCCCUGUACUCCAGGUUUGAUGUGAUUAAUCUGGCCGCUCAGAAGAACUACAAUAACCUGAACAUGACCAUGCAGGAAGCGAUCAGUAGCAGGGCCUGCUGUGUGGACGGGGUGCUGAAGUGUUACCCUCACGAGACUCUGGAGACUAUCAUCGAUCGUAUUGCUAAGGCAGAGGUCCACCGUCUCGUGCUGGUGGAUAAAGAUGACGUGGUGGGGGGGAUUGUCUCGCUCUCUGACCUCCUCCAGGCCCUGGUCUUGACCCCGGCAGGUAUUGAUGCCCUUUUCUCUUAGCACCUGACUGUGGGUUGGGGGGUCCAUCUAUCACUACCCACCACCUCCCAGCCCCUCCCCAGCCCCAACCCCAGAGAUUUCACGAAGAGCUCAAACUCUGACCACUGAAGACAAAUUGGGACACUAAUAAUGAAUGAAGACAGAAACUCUGUAAAUAUUUUUUAGAUUGUCCUCGGUAAAUUUAAAAUGCUUUUUAAAAGGUUUAUUAUUUUCUGCAGGAUAACACCAAUACUUUCAUAUUUUUAUAUUCAUACUUGUGUUUGUUUAGUACUUGUUUGUAUACAUUUUUGUAUACAUUAAUGUACAUUUUAUAAAAUCUCUCCUAUCCCGUUCAAAAUUAUUAUUUAUUUAUAUAUAUAUAUAUAUAUACACACACACAGUACCAGUCAACAGUUUAGACACACCUACUCAUUCCAGGGAUAUUCUUUAUUUUCUACAUUGUAGAAUAAUAGUGAAGACAUCAAAACUAUGAAAUAACACAUAUGGAAUCAUGUAGUAACCAAAAAAGUGUGAAACAAAUCAACAUAUAUUUUAUAUUUGAGAUUCUUCAAAGUAGCCACUCUUUGCCUUGAUGACAGCUUUGCACACUCUUGAUAUUCUCUCAACCAGUUUCACCUGGAAUGCUUUUUCAACAGUCUUUUGAAGGAGUUCCCACUUAUGCUGAGCGCUUGUUGGCUGCUUUUCCUUAACUCUGCGGUCGAACUCAUCCCAUACUAUCUCAAUUGGGUUGUGGUCGGGUGAUUGUGGAGGCCAGGUCAUCUGAUGCAACACUCCAUCACUCUCCUUUUUGGUCAAAUAGCCCUUACACAGCCUGGAUGUGUGUUGUGUCAUUGUCCUGUUGAAAAACCAAUGAUAAUCCCACUAAGCACAAACCAGAUGGGAUGGUGUAUUGCUGCAGAAUGCUGUGGUAGCCAUGCUGGUUAAGUGUGCCUUGAAUUCUAAAUAAAUCACUGACAGUGUCACCAGCUAAGCACCAUCACACCUCCUCCUCCAUGCUUCACGGUGGGAAAUACACAUGCAGAGAUCAUCCGUUUACCUACUCUGUCUCAAAAAGACACGGUGGUUGGAACCAAAAAUCUCAAAUUUGAACUCAUCAGACCAAAGGACAAAUUUCCACCUGUCUAAUGUCCAUUCCUCGUGUUUCUUGGCCCAAAAAAUUAUAUUUUUCUUAUUGGUGUCCUUUAGUAGUGGUUUCUUUGUAGCAAUUUGACCAUGAAGGCCUCGGUCAUGCAGUCUCCUCUGAACAGUUGUUGUUGAGAUGUGUCUGUUACUUGAACUCUGUGAAGCAUUUAUUUGGGCUGCAAUCUGAGGCUAGUAACUGAAUAGUACUGAAUUUAUCCUCUGCAGCAGAGGUAACUCUGGGUCUUUCUUUCCUGUGGCGGUCCUCAGGAGAGACAGGUAACUCUAAUGAACUUAUCCUCUGCAGCAGAGGUAACUCUGGACCUUCCAUUCCUGUGGUGGUCCUCAUGAGAGCCAGGUAACUCUAAUGAUCUUAUCCUCUGCAGCAGAGGUAACUCUGGGUCUUUCUUUCCUCAUGAGAGCCAGUUUCAUCAUAGAUGGUUUUUGUAACUGCACUUGAAGAAACUUUCAAAGUUCUUGAAAUGUUCCAUAUUGACUGACCUUCAUGUCUUAAAGCAAUGAUGGACUGUCGUUUCUCUUUGCUUAUUUGAGCUGUUCUUGCCAUAAUACAAACUUGGUCUAUUACCAAAUAGGGCUAUCUUCUGUAUACCAUAACUUGAAUGAGUAGGUGUGUCCAAACAUUUGACCACUACUGUAAAUAUUAUGUAUCUUUAAAUAAUGUUCUUCUUGUCCAUAAAUAUUAUGUCAUCUUUAAUGAAUAGGUCCACUGGAGUGAUGGAGGUAGAUAUGUACAGGGAUACUGGAGUGAUGGAGGUAGAUAUAUAGGGGGGAGGAGACGGAUACUGGAGUGAUGGAGGUAGAUAUAUAGGGGGAGGAGACGGA